CCGUGUUAGUCCAGGUUAAAUGUUAGCAGUGGCACAGGACUCCUUGUUGCACAUUAACUUUGCUCUAGGACAGUCCUGGGCUGUCACUUAGGGGGAGAGAACACGGUUCGACCUGCUUUCCGGCGGCCGGGGGGUCCUCAGAAGGUGGAGUCCGCACCGUGAUCACCAGCUCACUCAAUGCAAAGAGCCCUGAGUAGAGAUCCCAAACGUAG